ACUCCUACGGGAGGCAGCAGUGGGGAAUAUUGCACAAUGGGGAAACCCUGAUGCAGCCAUGCCGCGUGUGUGAAGAAGGCCUUCGGUUGUAAAGCACUUUCAGUAGGGAGGAAGGUAGUGUAGUUAACACCUGCAUUAUUUGACGUUACCUACAGAAGAAGCACCGGCUAACUCCGUGCCAGCAGCCGCGGUAAUACGGAGGGGUGCGAGCGUUAAUCGGAAUUACUGGGCGUAAAGCGCAUGCAGGCGGCCUGUUAAGUCAGAUGUGAAAGCCCGGGGGCUUAACCUCGGAAUUGCAUUUGAAACUGGCAGGCUAGAGUCUUGUAGAGGGGGUAGGAAUUUCAGGUGUAGCGGUGAAAUGCGUAGAGAUCUGAAGGAAUACCAGUGGCGAAGGCGGCCCCUGGACAAAGACUGACGCUCAGAUGCGAAAGCGUGGGGAGCGAAACAGGAUUAGAUACCCUGGUAGCACAGAG
rnacentral:rRNA from 1 species